rnacentral:rRNA from 1 species
GAUGAACGCUGGCGGCGUGCCUAAUACAUGCAAGUCGAGCGAACAGAUGAGGAGCUUGCUCCUCUGACGUUAGCGGCGGACGGGUGAGUAACACGUGGAUAACCUACCUAUAAGACUGGGAUAACUUCGGGAAACCGGAGCUAAUACCGGAUAAUAUAUUGAACCGCAUGGUUCAAUAGUUAAAGACGGUUUUGCUGUCACUUAUAGAUGGAUCCGCGCCGCAUUAGCUAGUUGGUAAGGUAACGGCUUACCAAGGCAACGAUGCGUAGCCGACCUGAGAGGGUGAUCGGCCACACUGGAACUGAGACACGGUCCAGACUCCUACGGGAGGCAGCAGUAGGGAAUCUUGCGCAAUGGGCGAAAGCCUGACGGAGCAACGCCGCGUGAGUGAUGAAGGUCUUCGGAUCGUAAAACUCUGUUAUUAGGGAAGAACAAAUGUGUAAGUAACUAUGCACGUCUUGACGGUACCUAAUGAGAAAGCCACGGCUAACUACGUG